GUGGAUGUAGCUCAGUUGGUUAGAGCGUCGGAUUGUGGUUCCGAAGGUCGAGGGUUCGAGUCCCCUUCUUCCACCCCA
rnacentral:tRNA from 1 species